UACGUAGGGUCCGAGCGUUGUCCGGAAUUAUUGGGCGUAAAGGGCUCGUAGGCGGUUUGUCGCGUCGGGAGUGAAAACACGGGGCUUAACCCCGUGCCUGCUUCCGAUACGGGCAGACUAGAGGUAUGCAGGGGGAGAACGGAAUUCCUGGUGUAGCGGUGAAAUGCGCAGAUAUCAGGAGGAACACCGGUGGCGAAGGCGGUUCUCUGGGCAUUACCUGACGCUGAGGAGCGAAAGCGUGGGGAGCGAACAGG
rnacentral:rRNA from 1 species